rnacentral:rRNA from 1 species
CAGUCGCCACGGUAAAACAGAGGGUGCGAGCGUUAAUCGGAUUUACUGGGCGUAAAGCGUGCGUAGGCGGCUUCUUAAGUCGGAUGUGAAAUCCCUGAGCUUAACUUAGGAAUUGCAUUCGAUACUGGGAAGCUAGAGUAUGGGAGAGGAUGGUAGAAUUCCAGGUGUAGCGGUGAAAUGCGUAGAGAUCUGGAGGAAUACCGAUGGCGAAGGCAGCCAUCUGGCCUAAUACUGACGCUGAGGUACGAAAGCAUGGGGAGCAAACAGGAUUAGAUACCCCAGUAGUCCCUGUCUCUUAUAU